CCUAUGAUCAAUUAUUCUUGCAAAUUAUGAAGAACAGCUUUGAAAUGUACCUUGGGUGCAUUUAAUUAAUGCCAAUCCAAUCUGGGCAACUUAGCCUUGCAAGUCUUCUGCACGUCACCUUUGUUGCUAUAGAUUUUCGACUCUGGUCGGAUUGAUCGAAGUCGACUAGGAGUCACUAGUUUGAUGAAUCUUGUAAAAUAAGUUCUGAUCGGAGUUGGCUUCGGCGAGGACUCUUCGAUGGUUAAGUCAGGAAAUUGAGACAGGUAAGAAGG
rnacentral:lncRNA from 1 species